UUUCUGGUUCCUCUUGUUUUAUUCUCAAAGUUUCUGGUUCCUCGUGUUUUAUUCUCAACAUUUCUGGUUCCUCGUCUUGUAUUGUGCUGGUUUCUGGUUCCUCGUGUUUUAUUCUCAAAGUUUCUGGUUCCUCAUCUUUUAUUCUCCAGGUUUCUGUUUCCUCUUGUUUUAUUGUGAAGGUUUCUGGUUCCUCGUGUUUUAUUUCUGGUUCCUCGUGUUUUAUUCUGCAGGUUUCUGGUUCCUCGUGUUUUAUUUCUGGUUCCUCGUGUUUUAUUGUGAAGGUUUCUGGUUCACUCGUGUUCUCUUCUCUCUCCUCUUUCACAAACUCCAUCUUCACAGCAGCAGAU